rnacentral:rRNA from 1 species
GACGAACGCUGGCGGCGUGCUUAACACAUGCAAGUCGAACGGAAAGGCCCUGCUUUUGUGGGGUGCUCGAGUGGCGAACGGGUGAGUAACACGUGAGUAACCUGCCCUUGACUUUGGGAUAACUUCAGGAAACUGGGGCUAAUACCGGAUAGGAGCUCCUGCUGCAUGGUGGGGGUUGGAAAGUUUCGGCGGUUGGGGAUGGACUCGCGGCUUAUCAGCUUGUUGGUGGGGUAGUGGCUUACCAAGGCUUUGACGGGUAGCCGGCCUGAGAGGGUGACCGGCCACGUUGGGAAGGAGAUCAGGCCCGGACUCCUGGGGGGGGAGGGGGGGGGGGAUGGGGCAGAGGGGGGGGAAGCCUGAGGCAGCAACGCCGGGGGGGGGAGGGGGGCCUUGGGUUUGUAGCCCGCUUGCGCCGGGGACGAAGGGGGAGGGACGGUAGUGGGAAAAGAAGCCCCGGCUAACUACGUG